UUAUAGAGAUUUGGGGAUGGAAAUAGGCUUGUGGCCAUUGCACCCGCCUGCAAUCUCGGUGGUGGAUGAGUGAGACCCAAUGGGUGGUGGCUAUUCGAAUGGCGACACGGAAAUCAUUGCAGCCGCUGUUAAUGCGGCUUAUCUACUCAAUUGAAGGGGGAAGAAGAAGCAUAGGAUCAUCAACCUAAAAUUGCCCGCCGGAUCUCACGUGUAUCUCGUGUCAUCCCCAUCGUUUGCAUUUUCCAAGAGAAAUCCCCAAGGAAAAAUAGAUAGACUAUUGGUGCCGGUGCCCAUUUCCCACAAGGUGGAGCAUGUGGGCUAGCUGGCGGGCCUCGUGUGUCGUGACACGGUUGCCUUUGAGAGCUUUAAGAGCUGCAUGCGUGCAAGCUAAUUUAAGUAGGACUAGACUUGUCAAGAUCCGGCUGCAUGGCAUCUCACUGUCCCACGAGGUUCAAGUGCGUCUUACCAUGAAACACAAGGUAACUUUGGGGCAGUUUGAUUCAACGGAAAAAAAAAAAAAAAAAAAGUCUACUUAUUUAGUUGAAGUUUUCAAAAAAAAAAAUUGAAAAAGUUAUAUUUUCAUGAAAAUAUGAUUGGCACAUUUCAUAAAAAAAUAUUUUUCAUAAGAAACAUAAAAAAGUUACUUUUUCACGAGCUAGAAAUCACUCCAUUUUUAUUUUUUUCCCCAAAAAGGCCCUUCAGCAUUAAAAAGAUACUAAAUACCUAAUUUUUAUUAAGGGUAUAAUAGAAAUUAUACAUAACUUUUGUAGAAAAGUAGAUGGUCAACCAAACAUAAGCAUUCUGGAAAUCUGUCAUUUUCCCAUGGUCAACCAAACAUGCUAAAAUACUUUUUCAAGCAUCCUAUUUUUAGAAAUCUGCUUUUCAGAAAUUAUGUUCCUAGGAGGAAAAAUACUUUUCGCGAACCCAACGAGCCUUUGAGCUUUUUUUCUGUUAGAUAAUGCAUGCAUCCAAAAACGGUUCGGGUUGUAUCUUUCAUGAGAAAAAUCAAUUGAUCUUUCAUGAUGUCAACCAUUGGAUAUCACUUCAUACUCCAAGCUCCUUCAUUCAUCCAGCUGCACAAAUCUCAAAGCAGCUAUUGCACGAAGAAAGGUGAACCCUUCUUUCUAACAAAACAUACAAGCCGAACCCGUCCAUAAAACCAUCUGUGGAGUGGGCCAUGUAACCGUUGUUUGGACGCUUCAUUCGCACGGGCCGACACU
rnacentral:lncRNA from 1 species